UGUUAAUACAUAUGCAGCCUCACUCUCAAGUGCAAGAGGAUUGAUCACUGAUGUCCAUUGCACUUAAUAGUGGGGCUUUGUGUGUAUUAUUG